AUUAGAUUAAAUUGAAUUUAGUUUAAAGUAUAAUUAAAAGUGUAUUGUUAAAUUUUUUUCACAUGAUAAAAAUAACAUUGGAUUGAAUUUCAAUUGAACACUUAACUACCUCAACAUGUGUAUAUAGUAUUCUUUUCAUCCGUGUCUAAAGUCAGUUUGUGAUCGGUCGUUCACCUUGAGAGAUCUGAAGAGACAGGACUAUAAGGCCAUGGACAUGUUUUUUUUUUGCAGUAUGAAAACUGCAUAAUAAACCUAUACAGACAAGUGGUACAGAGAGGAUAUAAUUCCGCGCAUCAUUACUCAGGCGUGUCAACAUUACCGGUUCAAUAUCGAGAUCAAUAGAUGAUUCUAUUGCGAGUUACAGUGAACACCGCAAAAUAACUAUUUUUGGGGGAGCCAGAGGAAAUGUACUGUCACUCGAUCAAUUCUCAAUAUUUUGCAAUGAAAAUUUGGUGAAAUACUGUUCAAAUGUUGUACUAUUAUAUAAAAAUUUAAUAAAUAUAUAUUAA